AACGAACGCUGGCGGCAGGCCUAACACAUGCAAGUCGAGCGCCCAGCAAUGGGAGCGGCGCACGGGUGAGUAACACGUGGGAACGUGCCCUAUGGUUCGGAAUAACGCAGGGAAACUUGCGCUAAUACCGGAUAAGCCCUAACGGGGAAAGAUUUAUCGCCAUUGGAGCGGCCCGCGUUGGAUUAGCUAGUUGGUGGGGUAAAAGCCUACCAAGGCGACGAUCCAUAGCUGGUUUGAGAGAACGACCAGCCACACUGGGACUGAGACACG
rnacentral:rRNA from 1 species